CACUCAACUUGAGAGUUUGAUUCUGGCUCAGAACGAACGCUGGCGGCAGGCCUAACACAUGCAAGUCGAACGACAUAGUGGCAGACGGGUGAGUAACGCGUGGGAACGUACCUUUCGCUACGGAAUAGCUCUUGGAAACGAGUGGUAAUACCGUAUACGCCCUUCGGGGGAAAGAUUUAUCGGCGAAAGAUCGGCCCGCGUUAGAUUAGUUUGUUGGUGGGGUAAUGGCCUACCAAGACUACGAUCUAUAGCUGGUCUGAGAGGAUGAUCAGCCACACUGGGACUGAGACACGGCCCAGACUCCUACGGGAGGCAGCAGUGGGGAAUNUUGNACAAUGGGCGAAAGCCUGAUGCAGCCAUGCCGCGUGAAUGAUGAAGGCCUUAGGGUUGUAAAAUUCUUUCGCUAGGGAUGAUAAUGACAGUACCUAGUAAAGAAGCCCCGGCUAACUUCGUGCCAGCAGCCGCGGUAAUACGAAGGGGGCUAGCGUUGUUCGGAAUUACUGGGCGUAAAGCGCACGUAGGCGGACUUUUAAGUCAGAUGUGAAAUCCCGGGGCUCAACCUCGGAACUGCAUUUGAAACUGGAAGUCUGGAGUUCAGGAGAGGUUAGCGGAAUACCGAGUGUAGAGGUGAAAUUCGUAGAUAUUCGGUGGAACACCAGUGGCGAAGGCGGCUAACUGGACUGAUACUGACGCUGAGGUGCGAAAGUGUGGGGAGCAAACAGGAUUAGAUACCCUGGUAGUCCACACCGUAAACGAUGA
rnacentral:rRNA from 1 species